UACAGAGGUCUCAAGCGUUGUUCGGAUUCAUUGGGCGUAAAGGGUGCGUAGGCGGCGCGGUAAGUCGGGUGUGAAAUCUCGGAGCUUAACUCCGAAACUGCAUUCGAUACUGCCGUGCUUGAGGACUGGAGGGGAGACUGGAAUUUACGGUGUAGCGGUGAAAUGCGUAGAUAUCGUAAGGAAGACCAGUGGCGAAGGCGAAUCUCUGGGCAGCUGCUGACGCUGAGGCACGAAGGCCAGGGGAGCGAACGGG
rnacentral:rRNA from 1 species